GUGGCCCUGGAGGCCUGGGGUGGGAAACUGUGUGUGCCACUGUGGUCUGGAGCCUGCACAGGCAUCUCGACAGCAUCUAGGAGCGCAAGGAUGGCAAGGGGGUGUGAAAGGGAGGGAGACCAUGCCCCAAGAUCAAGCCUGUGGGAAAGUUGUCCUGCAAGUGUGAGGAGUGUGAGCUCCAGUGUCCCCAGGUCUUCUCGGGGCCCCUAGCAGGGGUUUCAGUGUUAGGUGGAGGUGUGACUCAGUGACUGAUGUACUUCAUUCGCAUAGGUUGUAAAUGAGGGAACGAUGACUUCCCUGCAGGAGAGGAAAAGUCUUUUGGGGGUUCUGGGGCGGCUACUUCCCUUUGAUGGAGUUUCUUCUUCUCCAGUAGAAGAGCCACGUGCUGGAGCCAUUGUCCAGCCUUGCCCUGGAGGAGCAGUGUCUGGCUUUGUCCCUAGAUUGGUCCACUGGGAAAACUGGAAGGGCCGGGGACCAGCCCUUGAAGAUCAUCAGCAGUGACUCCACAGGGCAGCUCCACCUCCUGAUGGUGAAUGAGACGAGGCCCAGGCUGCAGAAAGUGGCCUCAUGGCAGGCACAUCAAUUCGAGGCCUGGAUUGCUGCUUUCAAUUACUGGCAUCCAGAAAUUGUGUAUUCAGGGGGCGACGAUGGCCUUCUGAGGGGCUGGGACACCAGGGUACCCGGCAAAUUUCUCUUCACCAGCAAAAGACACACCAUGGGUGUGUGCAGCAUCCAGAGCAGCCCUCAUCGGGAGCACAUCCUGGCCACGGGAAGCUAUGAUGAACACAUCCUACUGU
rnacentral:lncRNA from 1 species